rnacentral:rRNA from 1 species
AGUGAACGCUGGCGGUAGGCCUAACACAUGCAAGUCGAACGGCAGCACAGUAAGAGCUUGCUCUUACGGGUGGCGAGUGGCGGACGGGUGAGGGAUACAUCGGAAUCUACUUUUUCGUGGGGGAUAACGUAGGGAAACUCACGCUAAUACCGCAUACGACCUACGGGUGAAAGCAGGGGAUCUUCGGACCUUGCGCGAUUGAAUGAGCCGAUGUCGGAUUAGCUAGUUGGCGGGGUAAAGGCCCACCAAGGCGACGAUCCGUAGCUGGUCUGAGAGGAUGAUCAGCCACACUGGAACUGAGACACGGUCCAGACUCCUACGGGAGGCAGCAGUGGGGAAUAUUGGACAAUGGGCGCAAGCCUGAUCCAGCCAUACCGCGUGGGUGAAGAAGGCCUUCGGGUUGUAAAGCCCUUUUGUUGGGAAAGAAAAGCAGCAGGUUAAUACCCCGCUGUUCUGACGGUACCCAAAGAAUAAGCACCGGCUAACUUCGUG